GUAGGUGAAGCGAUUUACUCGUGGAGCUGAAAUCAGUCGAAGAUACCAGCUGGCUGCAACUGUUUAUUAAAAACACAGCACUGUGCAAACACGAAAGUGGACGUAUACGGUGUGACGCCUGCCCGGUGCCGGAAGGUUAAUUGAUGGGGUUAUCCUCGCGGAGAAGCUCUUGAUCGAAGCCCCGGUAAACGGCGGCCGUAACUAUAACGGUCCUAAGGUAGCGAAAUUCCUUGUCGGGUAAGUUCCGACCUGCACGAAUGGCGUAAUGAUGGCCAGGCUGUCUCCACCCGAGACUCAGUGAAAUUGAACUCGCUGUGAAGAUGCAGUGUACCCGCGGCAAGACGGAAAGACCCCGUGAACCUUUACUAUAGCUUGACACUGAACACUGGUCCUUGAUGUGUAGGAUAGGUGGGAGGCUUUGAAGCGCGGACGCCAGUUCGUGUGGAGCCAACCUUGAAAUACCACCCUUUAAUGGCUGGUGUUCUAACGUGGACCCGUUACCCGGGUUGCGGACAGUGUCUGGUGGGUAGUUUGACUGGGGCGGUCUCCUCCUAAAGAGUAACGGAGGAGCACGAAGGUUAGCUAAUCCUGGUCGGACAUCAGGAGGUUAGUGCAAAGGCAUAAGCUAGCUUGACUGCGAGCGUGACGGCGCGAGCAGGUGCGAAAGCAGGUCUUAGUGAUCCGGUGGUUCUGAAUGGAAGGGCCAUCGCUCAACGGAUAAAAGGUACUCCGGGGAUAACAGGCUGAUACCGCCCAAGAGUUCAUAUCGACGGCGGUGUUUGGCACCUCGAUGUCGGCUCAUCACAUCCUGGGGCUGAAGUAGGUCCCAAGGGUAUGGCUGUUCGCCAUUUAAAGUGGUACGCGAGCUGGGUUUAGAACGUCGUGAGACAGUUCGGUCCCUAUCUGCCGUGGGCGCUGGAGAAUUGAGGGGGGCUGCUCCUAGUACGAGAGGACCGGAGUGGACGCAUCACUGGUGUUCGGGUUGUCAUGCCAAUGGCACUGCCCGGUAGCUAAAUGCGGAAGAGAUAAGUGCUGAAAGCAUCUAAGCACGAAACUUGCCCCGAGAUGAGUUCUCCCUGACCCUUUAAGGGUCCUGAAGGAACGUUGAAGACGACGACGUUGAUAGGCCGGGUGUGUAAGCGCAGCGAUGCGUUGAGCUAACCGGUACUAAUGAACCGUGAGGCUUAACCUU
rnacentral:rRNA from 1 species